rnacentral:rRNA from 1 species
GAUGAACGCUAGCGACAGGCUUAACACAUGCAAGUCGAGGGGCAGCGGGGUAGUGCUUGCACUACUGCCGGCGACCGGCGCACGGGUGAGUAACACGUAUGGAACCUGCCCGCAGCAGGGGGAUAAGCGGAAGAAAUUCCGUCUAAUACCGCGUAAGAACGUUGGGAGGCAUCUCCCGAUGUUUAAAGAUUUAUCGGCUGCGGAUGGCCAUGCGGCGCAUUAGCUAGUCGGCGGGGUAACGGCCCACCGAGGCGACGAUGCGUAGGGGUUCUGAGAGGAAGGUCCCCCACACUGGUACUGAGACACGGACCAGACUCCUACGGGAGGCAGCAGUGAGGAAUAUUGGUCAAUGGCCGAGAGGCUGAACCAGCCAAGUCGCGUGAGGGAAGACGGCCCUACGGGUUGUAAACCUCUUUUGUCGGGGAGCAAAGCGAACCACGUGUGGUUCAUUGAGAGUACCCGAAGAAAAAGCAUCGGCUAACUCCGUGCCAGCAGCCGCGGUAAUACGGAGGAUGCGAGCGUUAUCCGGAUUUAUUGGGUUUAAAGGGUGCGCAGGCGGAGGUGCAAGUCAGCGGUCAAAUUGCGGGGCUCAACCCCGUACUGCCGUUGAAACUGCAUCCCUUGAGUGCGCGAGAAGUAUGCGGAAUGCGUGGUGUAGCGGUGAAAUGCAUAGAUAUCACGCAGAACUCCGAUUGCGAAGGCAGCAUACCGGCGCGCAACUGACGCUCAUGCACGAAAGCGUGGGUAUCGAACAGGAUUAGAUACCCUGGUAGUCCACGCAGUAAACGAUGAACACUAACUGUUCGGCCAGAAUGAUGGCUGAGUGGUACAGCGAAAGCGUUAAGUGUUCCACCUGGGGAGUACGCCGGCAACGGUGAAACUCAAAGGAAUUGACGGGGGCCCGCACAAGCGGAGGAACAUGUGGUUUAAUUCGAUGAUACGCGAGGAACCUUACCCGGGCUCAAACGACACAGGAAUACUUUUGAAAGGAGGUAGCCCUACGGGGUCUGUGUCGAGGUGCUGCAUGGUUGUCGUCAGCUCGUGCCGUGAGGUGUCGGCUUAAGUGCCAUAACGAGCGCAACCCCUAUCGCCAGUUACCAUCAAGUAAAGUUGGGGACUCUGGCGAGACUGCCGGCGCAAGCUGAGAGGAAGGCGGGGAUGACGUCAAAUCAGCACGGCCCUUACGUCCGGGGCGACACACGUGUUACAAUGGCAGGUACAGAGAGAAGCCAGGUGGUGACACCGAGCGGAACUCGAAAGCCUGUCUCAGUUCGGAUCGGAGUCUGCAACCCGACUCCGUGAAGCUGGAUUCGCUAGUAAUCGCGCAUCAGCCAUGGCGCGGUGAAUACGUUCCCGGGCCUUGUACACACCGCCCGUCAAGCCAUGGAAGCCGGGAGUGCCUGAAGUAUGCAACCGCAAGGAGCGUCCUAAGGUAAAACCGGUGACUGGGGCUAAGUCGUAACAAGGUAGCCGUACCGGAAGGUGCGGCUGGAACACCUCCUUUCUGGAGCCGACGGAAGUCGCCGCGCGACAAGCGCGGAUGAACGGCCACGGACACUGAAGGAAAUUUAGACACGACAGGAGAAUAUGACUCGCACAGAGUCCUCUUGACUGCUUUCUCGACGUCUAUUGCCUUACAACGUAUGCGCCACGGCGUCAUACGGUGAGGGGGAUUAGCUCAGCUGGCUAGAGCACCUGCUUUGCAAGCAGGGGGUCAACGGUUCGAAUCCGUUAUUCUCCACACAUUAAGAGAGGACAUUGACAUACUGGAAAGCGAGCGUGAUUUUUUCAAAAAAAAAAGAAUCACGUGAAGCAAAUCAAACACAACGAGUAACAAUCAUAAAAAAACGAAUCACUGAGGCUCGAGGCCGUCGAAGCGCAAGCAAAGGCGGACGAAAAGUCAGGUAUGUGAACCGAUUGUAACCAAGUAAAAAGGUCAUAAAGAAAGGAGAGAAGGGCACAUGAAGGAUGCCUUGGCUCUCGGAGGCGACGAAGGACGUGAUAAGCUGCGAAAAGCUGCGGGUAGGAGCAAAUAUCCUGUGAUCCGCAGAUCUCCGAAUGGGGCAACCCGACACGGGCGACCGUGCCACCCUCCUUGACGGAGGGAGCUAACCCGGGGAACUGAAACAUCUCAGUACCCGGAGGAAAAGAAAGUAAACCAACGAUUGCGCAAGUAGUGGCGAGCGAACGCGCAAGAGCCCAAACCGGCGGUGUUUCGGCACCGACCGGGGUUGUAGGACCGUCAACAAAUGGAUAAGAUAAAGUUAGCCGAAUCCUCUGGAAAGAGGAGCCGCAGCGGGUGACAGCCCCGUAGGCGAAAACGGAUUCUUGACAGAGACGGCACCUGAGUAAGCCGGGACACGAGAAAUCCUGGCCGAAUCCGCGGGGACCAUCCCGUAAGGCUAAAUACUACCGAGAGACCGAUAGCGAACC